AGUUUGAUCAUGGCUCAGACUGAGCGNCUAGCGGCGUGCCUAACACAUGCAAGUCGAGCGGUAAGGCCCCUUCGGGGGUACACGAGCGGCGAACGGGUGAGUAACGCGUGGGUAACCUACCCAGAGGUGGGGAUAGCCCCGGGAAACCGGGGAUAAUACCGCAUGAGUCCAUGUCGACGGAAGUCUUCAUGGGGAAAGGCGGGGAUCCUUCGGGACCUGUCGCCUCUGGAUGGGCCCGCGUCCGAUUAGCUUGUUGGUGAGGUGACGGCUCACCAAGGCUGCGAUCGGUAGCCGGCCUGAGAGGGUGAACGGCCACAUUGGGACUGAGACACGGCCCAGACUCCUACGGGAGGCAGCAGUGGGGAAUUUUGGGCAAUGGGCGCAAGCCUGACCCAGCGACGCCGCGUGGAGGAUGAAGGCCUUCGGGUUGUAAACUCCUGUCAGGUGGGAACGAAAUGCCGGCCGGUUAAUAUUCGGUCGGAGUUGACGGUACCACCAAAGGAAGCCCCGGCUACUCCGUGCCAGCAGCCGCGGUAAUACGGAGGGGGCAAGCGUUAAUUCGGAUUU
rnacentral:rRNA from 1 species